UGUUGGUUAUGUCAUUUGAAUUUCAAUUAUGUACAUUCCAUUCUUCUUCUUCUUCUUUUUAUUUCUUUUUUGAUAAAUGAGUUAAUGAUUGGUGGUUAGCCUUGACAUAUGAGGGCUUAACCUUCUUUGAUCCAAAUCAUAUUCGUCUUGAUCAAAGAUUAAGUGAAUUGCUUUGCAUUAGAGAUAGGUUGCUUCUUGGUCAAGC
rnacentral:lncRNA from 1 species